rnacentral:rRNA from 1 species
AUUGAACGCUGGCGGCAUGCCUUACACAUGCAAGUCGAACGGCAGCAUGAUCUAGCUUGCUAGAUUGAUGGCGAGUGGCGAACGGGUGAGUAAUACAUCGGAACGUGCCCUGUAGUGGGGGAUAACUAGUCGAAAGAUUAGCUAAUACCGCAUACGACCUGAGGGUGAAAGUGGGGGACCGCAAGGCCUCAUGCUAUAGGAGCGGCCGAUGUCUGAUUAGCUAGGUGGUGAGGUAAAGGCUCACCAAGGCGACGAUCAGUAGCUGGUCUGAGAGGACGAUCAGCCACACUGGAACUGAGGCACGGCCCAGACUCCUACGGGAGGCAGCAGUGGGGAAUUUUGGACAAUGGGGGCAACCCUGAUCCAGCAAUGCCGCGUGUGUGAAGAAGGCCUUCGGGUUGUAAAGCACUUUUGUCCGGAAAGAAAUCGCACUUACUAAUAUUAGGUGUGGAUGACGGUACCGGAAGAAUAAGGACCGGCUAACUACGUGCCAGCCGCCGCGGUAACAC